GCUAAGAAUCUUCCGCAAUGGGGGAAACCCUGACGGAGCGACGCCGCGUGGACGAAGAAUGCCGGAAGGUUGUAAAGUCCUUUUCCUGGGGGAGAAUAAGGAGUGGAGGGAAUGCCAUUCAGAUGACGUGAACCAGGGAAUAAGCCCCGGCUAAUUACGUGCCAGCAGCCGCGGUAACACGUAAGGGGCGAGCGUUGUUCGGAUUUAUUGGGCGUAAAGGGCGCGUAGGCGGUAAGAUAAGUCUGGUGUUAAAUGCCCCGGCUCAACCGGGGAGGUGCGCUGGAAACUGUAUUACUGGAGUGGUGGAGGGGGAGCUGGAAUUCCUGGUGUAGGGGUGAAAUCUGUAGAUAUCAGGAAGAACACCGGAGGCGAAGGCGAGCUCCUGGCCACCUACUGACGCUGAGGCGCGAAAGCGUGGGGAGCAAACAGGAUUAGAUACCCCGGUAGUCC
rnacentral:rRNA from 1 species